ACUACGGGUGGCAGCAGUGGGGAAUAUUGCACAAUGGGGGAAACCCUGAUGCAGCGACGCCGCGUGAGCGAGGAAGUAUUUCGGUAUGUAAAGCUCUAUCAGCAGGGACGAAAAAAGACGGUACCUGACUAAGAAGCACCGGCUAACUACGUGCCAGCAGCCGCGGUAAUACGUAGGGGGCAAGCGUUAUCCGGAUUUACUGGGUGUAAAGGGAGCGUAGACGGCAAGGCAAGCCAGAAGUGAAAGGGCAGGGCUCAACCCUGUACAUGCUUUUGGAACUGUGGUGCUAGAGUGCAGGAGAGGUAAGUGGAAUUCCUAGUGUAGCGGUGAAAUGCGUAGAUAUUAGGAGGAACACCAGUGGCGAAGGCGGCUUACUGGACUGUAACUGACGUUGAGGCUCGAAAGCGUGGGGAGCGAACAGGAUUAGAUACCCCUGUAGUC
rnacentral:rRNA from 1 species